ACCUGUUACCUGGCCAGUAGUCAUAUGCUUGCUCAAAGAUAAGCCAUGCAUGUCUAAGUAUAACAACUAUACAGUGCUCAUUAAAUCAGUUAUAGUCAUUAAAUCAGUUAUAAUACCUUAUACAUGGAUAACUGUGGUAAUCUAGAGCUAAUAAGCCCCAACUUUGGAUUUGGAAGGGGGUGUAUUUAUAAAAAACCAAUGGCUUUCGGUCUUCUUUAACGAUUCAUAAUAACUUCUCGAAUCGCAUGGCUUCAUUCAAUAUCUAUCUGCCCUAUCAACUUUCCAACUUUCGAUGGUGGUGAUGACGGUACGGGAGAAUAAGGGGUUCGAUUCCGGAGAGAGGGCCUCAAUCUAAGGAUUGCAGCAGGCGCGCAAAUUCCCAAUCCUGACACAGGAGGUAGUGAACAAUAAACAAGGCUCUUUGGCUCUUUUGGGGGAAUGAUACAUGGAAUGAGUACAAUUUCAGAAUUGGAGGGCAAGUCUGGUGCCAGCAGCGCGGUAAUCCAGCUCCAAUAGCGUAUAUUAAAUUGUUGACGUUAAAGCUCGUAGUCGACUUCGGCCUCUGGCAGUGCAGUUGGUCCGCCUUUACCUCUUGGUGAACUUCACACUUUACUGGGUAGUUGAAGGGAACCAGGACUUGGGCUUUUACUUUGAGUGUUCAGAGUGUUCAAACUGAGGGAAUAAUAAAAUACAUUAGCAUGGAAUAAUGUUGGUUUCUAGGAUUACCGGAUUACCGUAAUGUCAGGGCAUUUGAUUACAUCGUCAGAGGUGAAUUCUGGAUUGAUGUAAGCAAACUACUGCGAAAGCAUCUGCCAAGGAUGACUUCAUUGAUCAAGAACGAAGUAAGUUGGAGGCCAGAUACCGUUGUAGUCUUAACAGUAACUAUCAGACAAGGAUUUAUAAUGCCGCCGGCACCUUAUGAGCCGACUCAGUGGUCGUAAGUGUGGGGAUACGGUCACAAGGCUGAAACGGAAUUGACCGACGGAAGGAGCCUGCGGCUUAAUUUGACUCAACACGGGGAAACUCACCAGGUCCAGACACAGUAAGGAUUGACAGAUGAUAGCUUUUUCUUGUAUUUUUGGUUUGGUGGUGCAUGUCUUAGUUGGUGGAGUGAUUUUUAAUCCGAUACGAACGAGACCUCAGCCUGCUAACUGUCCAGCUGGCUACGGCUGGCUGCUGACUCUUAGAGGGACUAUCAACGUUAGUGAUGGAAGUUGAGGCAAUAACAGGUCUGUGAUGCCCUUAGAUGUCUGGGCCGCACGCGCGCUACACUGACCAAGCCAGCGAGUAUAUCACCUUAUCUGAAAGAUUGGGUAAUCUUGUGAACUUGGUCGUGAUGGGGAUAGAGCAUUGCAAUUAUGCUCUUCAACGAGGAAUACCUAGUAAGCGUAUGUCAUCAGCAUGCGUUGAUUACGUCCCUGCCCUUUCUCUAUGCAGGCGCUACUACCGAUUGGCAGGCUUUGAGGCGUUCGGAGAGCCUAUAAGGAGCUGGCACAGCAUCUUACUGGUUCAAAGUUCUCGAAAUGGUCUGCUAGAGGAAGUAAAGUCGUAACAAGGUUCCGUAGGUGAAUCAGUUGGAGGCUUAUUA
rnacentral:rRNA from 1 species